GUGUCAGCAGCCGCGGUAAUACGAAGGGGGCUAGCGUUGUUCGGAAUUACUGGGCGUAAAGCGUGCGCAGGCGGUCUCUCAAGUCAGGGGUGAAAGCCCAGAGCUCAACUCUGGAACUGCCCUUGAAACUGUGAGGCUUGAGUGCGGGAGAGGUGAGUGGAAUUCCCAGUGUAGAGGUGAAAUUCGUAGAUAUUGGGAAGAACACCGGUGGCGAAGGCGGCUCACUGGCCCGUUUCUGACGCUCAUGCACGAUAGCGUGGGGAUCAAACAGGAUUAGAUACCCUGGUAGUCCACGCUGUAAACUAUGGACGCUAGCCGUUGGGUAGCUUGCUAUUCAGUGGCGCAGCUAACGCAUUAAGCGUCCCGCCUGGGGAGUACGGCCGCAAGGUUGAA
rnacentral:rRNA from 1 species